rnacentral:rRNA from 2 species
GGGUUGUGAGGUUAAGCGACUAAGCGUACACGGUGGAUGCCCUGGCAGUCAGAGGCGAUGAAGGACGUGCUAAUCUGCGAAAAGCGUCGGUAAGGUGAUAUGAACCGUUAUAACCGGCGAUGUCCGAAUGGGGAAACCCAGUGUGAUUCGUCACACUAUCGUUAACUGAAUACAUAGGUUAACGAGGCGAACCGGGGGAACUGAAACAUCUAAGUACCCCGAGGAAAAGAAAUCAACCGAGAUUCCCCCAGUAGCGGCGAGCGAACGGGGAGCAGCCCAGAGUCUGAAUCAGCUUGUGUGUUAGUGGAACGGUCUGGAAAGUCCGACGGUACAGGGUGAUAGUCCCGUACACCAAAAUGCACAGGUUGUGAACUCGAAGAGUAGGGCGGGACACGUGGUAUCCUGUCUGAAUAUGGGGGGACCAUCCUCCAAGGCUAAAUACUCCUGACUGACCGAUAGUGAACCAGUACCGUGAGGGAAAGGCGAAAAGAACCCCGGCGAGGGGAGUGAAAAAGAACCUGAAACCGUGUACGUACAAGCAGUGGGAGCACCUUCGGGUGUGACUGCGUACCUUUUGUAUAAUGGGUCAGCGACUUAUAUUCUGUAGCAAGGUUAACCGUAUAGGGGAGCCGCAGGGAAACCGAGUCUUAACUGGGCGUUAAGUUGCAGGGUAUAGACCCGAAACCCGGUGAUCUAGCCAUGGGCAGGUUGAAGGUUGGGUAACACUAACUGGAGGACCGAACCGACUAAUGUUGAAAAAUUAGCGGAUGACUUGUGGCUGGGGGUGAAAGGCCAAUCAAACCGGGAGAUAGCUGGUUCUCCCCGAAAGCUAUUUAGGUAGCGCCUCGUGAACUCAUCUUCGGGGGUAGAGCACUGUUUCGGCUAGGGGGUCAUCCCGACUUACCAACCCGAUGCAAACUACGAAUACCGAAGAAUGUUAUCACGGGAGACACACGGCGGGUGCUAACGUCCGUCGUGAAGAGGGAAACAACCCAGACCGCCAGCUAAGGUCCCAAAGUCAUGGUUAAGUGGGAAACGAUGUGGGAAGGCACAGACAGCCAGGAUGUUGGCUUAGAAGCAGCCAUCAUUUAAAGAAAGCGUAAUAGCUCACUGGUCGAGUCGGCCUGCGCGGAAGAUGUAACGGGGCUAAACCAUGCACCGAAGCUGCGGCAGCGACACUAUGUGUUGUUGGGUAGGGGAGCGUUCUGUAAGCCUGCGAAGGUG